UACGUAGGCAGCAAGCGUUGUUCGGAGUUACUGGGCGUAAAGGGUGCGUAGGCGGCUUUUUAAGUUUGGUGUGAAACUCUCCCGGCUCAACUGGGAGGGUGCGCCGAAUACUGAGAGGCUAGAGUGUGGGAGAGGAAAGUGGAAUUCCGUGGUGUAGCGGUGAAAUGCGUAGAUAUCAGGAGGAACACCGGUGGUGUAAACGGCUUUCUGGACCAUAACUGACGCUGAUGCACGAAAGCGUGGGUAGCAAACAGG
rnacentral:rRNA from 1 species